rnacentral:rRNA from 1 species
UACAGAGGUCCCGAGCGUUGUUCGGAUUCAUUGGGCGUAAAGGGUGCGUAGGCGGUUUGCUAAGUUUGAUGUGAAAGCCCGGGGCUUAACCCUGGAAUGGCAUUGAAUACUGGCGAACUAGAGUACUGGAGAGGAAACUGGAAUUUACGGUGUAGCAGUGAAAUGCGUAGAGAUCGUAAGGAAGACCAGUGGCGAAGGCGAGUUUCUGGACAGUUACUGACGCUGAGGCACGAAGGCCAGGGGAGCAAACGGG